GGGUACUACUAGGCGGGUAUAUUUAUUAGGUUUUUACAUCUGUGAUGUCAUAACAAAAGUAGUGAGCAUAGUGUCUGGAUUGCUUUUUAAAAGCCAGGCCUCUAGAUAGUCUUGUACUGUACAGUUUUUUAGUAUAGAGGGAGGGAAUUUCGACAUGGCAUAAAUUUUCACUGACCCAUCUGUACAAGGCCAAUGCAUUUGGCAUUUGAUUAUAUUUUAAGAUGCCAGUUUCCAGAAAAUAUUUAUUUCAAAUAAAUCAGUAGCUUAACAUCACCAAGUAGGAAUGUGGAGCGAAUGAAUAAUGGACACACUGUGACUGCAAGCACUUUAAGCGUCUGGAAAAGCGCAGAUAAAUCCAAUCCCUUAUUAUUAUUAAGUGGAACCUGAAAACCGGAUGCUUACAUCAGUCUUGUCUGACCUUUAAAGUGAAUACUACAAAAGAAAAUCAUACGAUAGUUGUAAAAACUGAUGUUUUCUACAUAUAAUAAUGUGCGUCACUUUCCACACUGAGAUACGGAGACUUAAUCUAUUUAAAAAAAAAAAGUUCUUUAUUUUGGUUACUGUAGACCGUAACCAACGCCGUACAGCUUGCCCCAAAACUCGUAUCUCUCUAAACAGAGAAAACGCUCCGCAACUUUAACUGCCUUGUGCCGCACCUGCCCUCCUAUUUCCUUACUCGGCCAAUAGCUGAACCUGUAAGCCCAAACCCCCGACGACAGGCUGAGUGACAGAACUGAGGACAAACCAGCGCCUUUGGCUGAUGUGUUCAAUGAACCCCAGAAAAAUCAUCCUCAAGGGGAAACAAAGCCACUCAGAUGAGCAGGUGGUCAGCCAGCUUUCUGUGGCCAUGCACACUUUGUGAGGCCAGUGGAAGUGACCCCAAGCGACCCAGACCCAUCAGGAGGAGUGGAGUGUGCAGCACCUGUGGGGGAAUUUCAGCCACAAAAUUCAUAACGGUUCUGUUUGAAAGUCUAAAUGAAACGGGAGCACUUGCUGUAGUCUCCCGCAUCUCCACUGCGGGUGUUUUUAACCUUGUAGCACCUCUGUAAGGAGCCAGCCUGUAUCGACAUAGUGCCACUUUCCUGCCCCUAGGGGUAGUUGAACCCAGUAAACCACCUCACCCAGCCUCUCCAAUAUCUCGCAAGGGCCACCCAGUCACUGUUCAGUUUUGGACGCUUGCCUUUCUUCCUUUGGGGACUGAAGACACUCACACCAACUCUCCCACCUGCAAGUGAUGCACAUCAUAAUUUCUUUUCUGUCUCUGUCCAGGACUCAACAGCUUGUUCCUUGCAAAGUUGUGAGCAGACUCCAGCCGUUCCCGCAGCUUCCUUGAAUAGUCAGACCCCAGGGGGUCCCUGGGCAUGUCUGGGGGCUUUUUGAUUCCCAUCUCUGCCUGUGUACAUAUCUCUCUGCCUAGCAUCAGUAAGGCAGGAGAACAGGAAGUUGAGUUCUUGGCUGGUGACCUGUAAGCCAUGAGCAACAGGGUACAUUGGUAUCCCAGUCCCGCUGAUGUUAAUCUGUGAAGGGGGCCAGCUGUUCAGCCAAUGUGCGGUUAAACGGUUUCGAGCCCAUCACUCUGUGGAUGUAGGGGCAUAUGGGGUGGUACAGGUUUUGUGGGCACCCGGUUUUACACACAUAGCUGCAAAAUCUUUGGACUCAAAGUUUCUUCCCUGAUCCUUGUGAAUUACCUUUGGCACCCCAAGCCUACUGAACAUCCCCUCCACCAGUACAUCCACCACAGUCUCUGCUUCUUGGUUAGGCGGGCAGUAUGCCUUAGGCCACUGAGUGAAAUAAUCCAUUGCAAUGAUAAUAAAAUGGUUAACCUUUUCUGAGCAAGGAAAGGGGCCUAAGACAUCAAUCCCCACUCUCUCCAUGGGACAGCCUACAGGAAACUAUUGGAAGGGGCCAUGUGAAUGACCCACUGCUGUGCAGGAGUCACACUUUAUGCAAAAUUCUUCCACGUCUAGAGGACUCUGCCCCAAGUAGAAGCCUUGUCUGAGCCUGCGGAGAGUUCUGGAGACCCCAAAGUGUCCGAAACAUGGGACCUGUGCAUUGCUUGAAGAACAGUGAGCUGCAGGUUUUUUGGCACCACCAGCUGCCAACUUACCUCACCUGCAACUGGUUCCUUCAAGCCUCUCUACAGCACCCCAUCACACAGACGUAAAGAGUCGAACACGGACCACAGACCUUUAGUUGUUCGAGAGAGCAUGGAGAUUUCCUCCCAGGACGGCCUUCACUGCUCCUCGAUCAAUGAGAGGACAUGAUCAUGGAUCAGCGUCCUCUUGCUUUUGAUGUCUCCACUCUGCAGUAUCAACAGAGGUCACCGGCGGGAACAGUCUCCAGAGUACUGAAUGCACUCCAUCUCCCAGCAACCCCAGUGCACACUUCCCGGCACACUUCAGCCUUACUUCCCAAGCGUUAUAUUUGGACCUGCUGUUCUGUCUCCUGACUCUGUACCUGACUCUGUUUGCCUGCCGCCUACCCGACUCUCGCCUGACUACUCUGUCUCUCCUCUGAUGAUCUUAUGCCUGUAAUCGACCCCUGCCUGCCUGACCCUUAUUUAGCUUUGUGGACUUUUAGCUGAGCUAAUAAACCUGCUACAUUUGGAUCCAGCAGUCUGCCUGCUCUUGUAACACCAAUGGAAUUACGCAAAUAAAGUUGCCAUUUUUUUGCGGUACAGACACUACCAGAAA